UUGGUCAUUUAGAGGAAGUAAAAGUCGUAACAAGGUUUCCGUAGGUGAACCUGCGGAAGGAUCAUUAAAGAGUAAGGGUGCUCAGCGCCCGACCUCCAACCCUUUGUUGUUAAAACUACCUUGUUGCUUUGGCGGGACCGCUCGGUCUCGAGCCGCUGGGGAUUCGUCCCAGGCGAGCGCCCGCCAGAGUUAAACCAAACUCUUGUUAUUUUUAAGUAAUCUGAGCGUCUUAUUUUAAUAAGUCAAAACUUUCAACAACGGAUCUCUUGGUUCUGGCAUCGAUGAAGAACGCAGCGAAAUGCGAUAAGUAAUGUGAAUUGCAGAAUUCAGUGAAUCAUCGAAUCUUUGAACGCACAUUGCGCCCUUUGGUAUUCCAAAGGGCAUGCCUGUUCGAGCGUCAUUUGUACCCUCAAGCUUUGCUUGGUGUUGGGCGUCUUGUCUCUAGCUUUGCUGGAGACUCGCCUUAAAGUAAUUGGCAGCCGGCCUACUGGUUUCGGAGCGCAGCACAAGUCGCACUCUCUAUCAGCAAAGGUCUAGCAUCCAUUAAGCCUUUUUUUCAACUUUUGACCUCGGAUCAGGUAGGGAUACCCGCUGAACUUAAGCAUAUCAAUAAG
rnacentral:rRNA from 1 species